rnacentral:rRNA from 1 species
CAGUCGCCGCGGGAAUACGAAGGGGGCUAGCGUUGCUCGGAAUGACUGGGCGUAAAGGGCGCGUAGGCGGCGGCCAAAGUCAGGCGUGAAAUUCCUGGGCUCAACCUGGGGGCUGCGUUUGAUACUUGGUUGCUUGAGUGGGGAAGAGGGUCGUGGAAUUCCCAGUGUAGAGGUGAAAUUCGUAGAUAUUGGGAAGAACACCGGUGGCGAAGGCGGCGACCUGGUCCUUUACUGACGCUGAGGCGCGAAAGCGUGGGGAGCAAACAGGAUUAGAUACCCCCGUAGUCCCUGUCUCUUAUAC